UGAAUAUGGGGGGACCAUCCUCCAAGGCUAAAUACUCCUGACUGACCGAUAGUGAACCAGUACCGUGAGGGAAAGGCGAAAAGAACCCCUGUGAGGGGAGUGAAAUAGAACCUGAAACCGUGUACGUACAAGCAGUAGGAGCACCUUCGUGGUGUGACUGCGUACCUUUUGUAUAAUGGGUCAGCGACUUAUAUUCAGUGGCAAGGUUAACCGUAUAGGGGAGCCGUAGCGAAAGCGAGUCUUAACUGGGCGCUCAGUCUCUGGAUAUAGACCCGAAACCGGGUGAUCUAGCCAUGGGCAGGUUGAAGGUUGAGUAACAUCAACUGGAGGACCGAACCGACUAAUGUUGAAAAAUUAGCGGAUGACUUGUGGCUAGGGGUGAAAGGCCAAUCAAACUCGGAGAUAGCUGGUUCUCCCCGAAAGCUAUUUAGGUAGCGCCUCGGACGAAUACUACUGGGGGUAGAGCACUGUUAAGGCUAGGGGGUCAUCCCGACUUACCAACCCUUUGCAAACUCCGAAUACCAGUAAGUACUAUCCGGGAGACACACGGCGGGUGCUAACGUCCGUCGUGGAGAGGGAAACAACCCAGACCGCCAGCUAAGGUCCCAAAGUAUUGCUAAGUGGGAAACGAUGUGGGAAGGCUCAGACAGCUAGGAUGUUGGCUUAGAAGCAGCCAUCAUUUAAAGAAAGCGUAAUAGCUCACUAGUCGAGUCGGCCUGCGCGGAAGAUGUAACGGGGCUAAGCAAUACACCGAAGCUGCGGCAAUGUCUUUUAGACAUUGGGUAGGGGAGCGUUCUGUAAGCCGUUGAAGGUGAAUCGUAAGGUUUGCUGGAGGUAUCAGAAGUGCGAAUGCUGACAUGAGUAACGACAAAGGGGGUGAAAAACCUCCUCGCCGGAAGACCAAGGGUUCCUGUCCAACGUUAAUCGGGGCAGGGUGAGUCGACCCCUAAGGUGAGGCCGAAAGGCGUAAUCGAUGGGAAACGGGUUAAUAUUCCCGUACUUCUGACUAUUGCGAUGGGGGGACGGAGAAGGCUAGGUGGGCCAGGCGACGGUUGUCCUGGUUCAAGUGCGUAGGCUUGAGAGUUAGGUAAAUCCGGCUCUCUCUAAGGCUGAGACACGACGUCGAGCUACUACGGUAGUGAAGUCAUUGAUGCCAUGCUUCCAGGAAAAGCCUCUAAGCUUCAGAUAGUCAGGAAUCGUACCCCAAACCGACACAGGUGGUCGGGUAGAGAAUACCAAGGCGCUUGAGAGAACUCGGGUGAAGGAACUAGGCAAAAUGGUACCGUAACUUCGGGAGAAGGUACGCUCUUGAUGGUGAAGUCCCUCGCGGAUGGAGCUGACGAGAGUCGCAGAUACCAGGUGGCUGCAACUGUUUAUUAAAAACACAGCACUGUGCAAAAUCGCAAGAUGACGUAUACGGUGUGACGCCUGCCCGGUGCCGGAAGGUUAAUUGAUGGGGUUAGCGCAAGCGAAGCUCUUGAUCGAAGCCCCGGUAAACGGCGGCCGUAACUAUAACGGUCCUAAGGUAGCGAAAUUCCUUGUCGGGUAAGUUCCGACCUGCACGAAUGGCGUAAUGAUGGCCACGCUGUCUCCACCCGAGACUCAGUGAAAUUGAAAUCGCUGUGAAGAUGCAGUGUACCCGCGGCUAGACGGAAAGACCCCGUGAACCUUUACUACAGCUUGGCACUGAACAUUGAACCUACAUGUGUAGGAUAGGUGGGAGGCUAUGAAGACGUGACGCCAGUUGCGUUGGAGCCGUCCUUGAAAUACCACCCUUGUAUGUUUGAUGUUCUAACUUAGACCCAUUAUCUGGGUUGAGGACAGUGCCUGGUGGGUAGUUUGACUGGGGCGGUCUCCUCCCAAAGAGUAACGGAGGAGCACGAAGGUGGGCUAAUCACGGUUGGACAUCGUGAGGUUAGUGCAAUGGCAUAAGCCCGCUUAACUGCGAGAAUGACGGUUCGAGCAGGUGCGAAAGCAGGUCAUAGUGAUCCGGUGGUUCUGUAUGGAAGGGCCAUCGCUCAACGGAUAAAAGGUACUCCGGGGAUAACAGGCUGAUACCGCCCAAGAGUUCAUAUCGACGGCGGUGUUUGGCACCUCGAUGUCGGCUCAUCACAUCCUGGGGCUGAAGUCGGUCCCAAGGGUAUGGCUGUUCGCCAUUUAAAGUGGUACGCGAGCUGGGUUUAGAACGUCGUGAGACAGUUCGGUCCCUAUCUGCCGUGGGCGUUGGAAGAUUGAAGGGGGCUGCUCCUAGUACGAGAGGACCGGAGUGGACGAACCUCUGGUGUUCGGGUUGUGUCGCCAGACGCAUUGCCCGGUAGCUAAGUUCGGAAUUGAUAAGCGCUGAAAGCAUCUAAGCGCGAAGCGAGCCCUGAGAUGAGUCUUCCCUGACAGUUUAACUGUCCUAAAGGGUUGUUCGAGACUAGAACGUUGAUAGGCAGGGUGUGUAAGCGUUGUGAGGCGUUGAGCUAACCUGUACUAAUUGCCCGUGAGGCUUAACCAU
rnacentral:rRNA from 1 species